UACGUAGGGGGCAAGCGUUGUCCGGAAUCAUUGGGCGUAAAGCGCGUGUAGGCGGCUAGGUAAGUCUGCUCUGAAAGCCCGGGGCUCAACCCCGGGAGGCGGGUGGAUACUGUCUAGCUCGAGUCCGGAAGAGGAGUGUGGAAUUCCUGGUGUAGCGGUGAAAUGCGCAGAUAUCAGGAGGAACACCGAUGGCGAAGGCAGGUCUCUGGGCCAUAACUGCCGCUGAGAAGCGAAAGCAUGGGGAGCGAACAGG
rnacentral:rRNA from 1 species